ensembl:piRNA 21ur-2339 ncRNA
UUUGAUGUCCAUUCAAAAUAA